UUGUUCCCUUAACAUUUUUUUAUUUCUUUUUUAAAUUUAAAAAACAUAUUCUGUUUCUUUUUUCCUUUAAUAUUUUUGAGAAAGACAUAGGAUAGCGGGCCCCAUCUUAAUUUGAACGUCCAAAAUCACGGCAUUGAAUAAUCUGCACACUGAAUUUAAUUCAGCCAGACAACCAGGAGAGGGCACGCGACCACCGCUAAACAGUGAGCGAGCGCCGAGGGCCCCGCGCUGCCCCAGAUGACCAGCAGAGGGCGUACGAGCUGCCUUGUCGGACCCGUGAGAAGCCCCUACCGCCUCCGUGCUCCUCCUAUGGCCGCCAGCGCUGCGCCUGCAACGAGGACGAGAACCUCAUUUUCCUCACCACAGAUCUAAGGGGACACCGCCUCACUCUGGCACAACUUGAGGCUGCGUCAAUGACCUUGUACUGUUGUUACACAGUUCAAUAUUGAAGGGAGUGAUUCUCCAGAGCUUGCCCAGAAGCCAGGAUAUCUGGAAAGAAUCUCAGCCUCUCUCAGCCUGCAGCUUGGGAGAGUGAUUCAUGGAACCUGACUGCACACUGCUGCUAAACCAUAGACUGGCCUUGGCUUACACAUCUGACUGCAACUGUCCCCUCUGAGUAAAAGCCUCUCUUUCUUCAACCUUGCAAGCUUCCUGGGGGUGCUUCUAACAAGCGGACUUCACAUAUAAAAGGGGACUCUGAACGACCUACUUCCUGGCUUCUCUUCUGGAAGUCAGGGAAGAGUACAGGAAGGAGUGGCCACAGUGCCCAACUGACAACUGACAAUUUCACCAACUGAGUUUCCAGAGGACUACAAUUUAAUACGUUCAAAGAACAGUCCGAGAAGCCACUCUGGACCCUCCGCAUUAAGACAGAGGAAGGAGGAGCAAACAGGUGGUGAUUAUGACUAACAACAUUUACUGAAUCCUUCCCAUGCUGAAAACCCUAUUGUAAGCUAUUUAUGCUCGCUAAGUCAUUUAUUCUUCAGGGCCAUUUAACCAAGUAAGCAUUAUGAUUAUCCCCACUUUUACAGGUGAGAAAAUUGAGGCACCAAGAUUAGAUCGCACAGCGGUAUAAUAGGAUGGAAAACUCCUAUCAUAUAACGAGCGUUAAGUGAAAAAAAUUAGUAUCCAAAACUGUAACUCUGAUGCUGCAAAUCCUUUUUAUAAUUUAAGUAGUUUACAAAUACCCUAAUUAUUAGCCCUAUUUCUGAGCACUUCAUAUGUAGAGUGCACUUUACAGAACACUGUCGUGUAAUCCUCACUCCGUAAACGAAGUAAGUGAUAGUUUCCAGUUUCCAAAGAGGAAAGCGGAGCUAGGAGAGGCCAAGUGCCUGCGCGGCGCCACAGGGUUCGUCCCCGCGGAGCGGACCUCAGGGCAUCCGGGGCAGGUCCCGGCGGAGCUCGCGGCCCCGCGGUGGCGACGCCCGGGCCCAGCCGCUCGCGCUCCCGGAGCCGCCGGACUGCGCGGCACGCGGACGCCGAGCCUGCCCGCCUGGGUCUACAUAAAAACCGCAGCCACCGGCAGUCUUAACAGAAAUGGAGACUUAAUUUUUGAGACUGUCUUUUGUGUAUUUGAGAAAGCCCCUCGUCCGGAUCCGGGCCGCGGGGCCUCUGACCGCGUCCUCGCGCCGGGCCCGGGCUGGGCGGGGCGGGCGGCGCCUAGGCUGCGUCCCGGCUCUGGCUGCGCGGGCCCGGGCCUCCCGCGGGCCUGGGGCUUCGAGCUCAGGCCGAGCGCUCUAUGGAAGCCGCGCGCGACCCCCGCUCCCCCGCGUGCGACCCC